UACGUAGGGUGCAAGCGUUGUCCGGAAUUAUUGGGCGUAAAGGGCUCGUAGGCGGUUUGUCGCGUCGGGAGUGAAAACACCGGGCUUAACUCGGUGCUUGCUUUCGAUACGGGCAGACUAGAGGUAUGCAGGGGAGAACGGAAUUCCUGGUGUAGCGGUGAAAUGCGUAGAUAUCAGGAGGAACGCCGGAGGCGAAAGCGAGUGACUGGCGCGUUCCUGACGCUGAGGUGCGAAAGCUAGGGGAGCAAACAGG
rnacentral:rRNA from 1 species